GUCAAAACUUCCCCAAAGUCCAGGAAAUGGCAUUUCAGAGACUCGAAAUUUAAAAAUUUCCUCGGGCCUCCGGCCCUCGUUUUCUGCCCCCAAUAAACAAAAGCUCCCUACCGCACUGCUUCUGUAAUAUGUCUGUGCGUAAAUUAUGCAUAUUUUUGUUAAUUGUAAAUUGCGUCUUCAUUUUCCGAGUAGCAAACACCUUCAUGGCUAAUAGUAUGCCAUGAUAUAUUCGGAAAUUAUUUUCGUCAUUCGGAAAUUUUUGGCCUACACCCCCCCCCCCCAACUAUACAUGCUAGCUACGGCCCUGGAUACAGACUUGCCGACUGGAACUUCUCCAGGUCCCCCGCUAAUUAUGUCCUCUCCAGUUACACAUCCGGCUUAAAAAAGGCCCUGAACCAAAUGUUAUACCUCAUAGCAAUAUGUAUUAUUAAGAGCAAUGCAUGAAUCUAGAAAACUCAACGUUAACUAUAAUUAAAGAAUCUAAAUAGUAUAAGCUAUUGAAAAAAAAUGCUGCGAAAGAAAGUGUGGCAAAAAAAAAUCGUACAUGGUGAUGGGAUAAAAAAAAAAUCUUGCACAUAAUGAUCCCAGAAAAAGAAUUCCCUGCCAGCAGUAAAUCAC